AUUGAGAAGGAAUUCAGAAACCACUUCCACAGUAGUGGAACUAAAGGCAGCCGCUUAUCUGUGGAGAUCGAUCGUGUCCUACUCAACGACUCGGGCACCUAUUUCUGCGCCAAGCAAGACUCACUCUAUAAUUUGAAUUUCGGCGAUGGUACAAAGCUGACAGUAAUAGGGAAGAACGAUGAAAUCGUGCCUCCAGCUGUGGCCAUCUUUUCCCCAUCAAAGCAAGAGAUCCAACAGAAGAGCAAGGCCACACUAGUAUGCCUGGCUUCUGGUUUCUACCCUGACCACCUGAAACUCAUCUGGAAGGUGAACGGUGCUGAGAGGACAAAAGGGGUGGGGACAGAUGAGUUUUCUACAUGGAAUGGGAGUACCUACUCAUUGACCAGCCGACUGAGGAUCUCAGCCCAGGAAUGGUUCAACCCUUUGAAUCGUUUUGAGUGUGUCGCCGAUUUUUUUAAGAAUGGAACGCUGGAAUCCAUACACAAAUUAAUCUACGGUGAUGCUGGAUGUGCACUCACAGAAGAAAACUAUCAGAGAGGUGCUACAUCUGGGAAGUUUGUGUACAUCAGGCUCAUUUUCAAGACUGUUUUGUAUGGGAUGUUUGUGAUGGGGCUGAUGCUUAGGUCCAAGGAGAAGAGCAGAGUUCUACUCU